rnacentral:lncRNA from 1 species
UAAUGCUGGAGAACGACAGCCAGAGGUGAUGCAAAACUUUGCAAACAUGGUAGCUCAGGCUAUGCAUCAGGGAAUACCAGCUGCAGGGAACCAGCCAGACAAUCGCUUGGCAAAUUUCAAAGACUUUAAAGCCGUAGGACCACCAGAAUUCAGAGGAUCAGCUGACCCUAUAGAAGCCCAAACAUGGGUUAACGAGAUAGAAAAGGCGUUCGUAAUUGAUAGAAUAGAUGAGGGGCAAAAGACUGCUUUUGCCACUUAUAUGUUGAAAAGGGGAGGCUAACUUUUGGUGGGAGGUAAAUAAAACUCGGG